rnacentral:rRNA from 1 species
AGCUGCAGUAUCUUGACUGUACAAAGGUAGCAUAAUCAUUAGUUUCUUAAUUGGAAGCUGGAAUGAAUGGUUGAAUAAGGAAAUAACUGUCUCUUUUUAAUUAAGUUGAAUUUUAUUUUUAAGUUAAAAAGCUUAAAUUUUAUAAAAAGACGAGAAGACCCUAUAGAGUUUAAUAAAUUUAUAUUUUUAUAGGUUAAGAUUUUAUUAUAUAAAAAUAUAUAUUUAUUUAGUUGGGGUGACUCUGGAAUUUAUUAAACUUCUUAUAGUUAAUCAUUGAUUUAUGAAUAAAUGAUCCUAGUUUUUAGAUUAAAAGAAAAAAUUACCUUAGGGAUAACAGCGUAAUUUUUUUAGAGAGUUCUUAUCAAUAAAAGAGAUUGCGACCUCGAUGUUGGAUUAAAGUUAAAUUUUGGUGAAGAAGCUUAAAUUUUAAGACUGUUCGAC